GUACUGAUGAUGAGUCCCAUAUUAGGACGAAACGGCCGUCCAGUGC
rnacentral:hammerhead_ribozyme from 1 species